rnacentral:tRNA from 1 species
GGCGGAGUAGCUCAGCUGGUUAGGGCAGCGGAAUCAUAAUCCGCGUGUCGGGGGUUCAAGUCCCUCCUCCGCUACCA